CAUGCAUGUCUAAGUAUAAGCAAUUAUACCGUGAAACUGCGAAUGGCUCAUUAAAUCAGUUAUCGUUUAUUUGAUAGUACCUUACUACUUGGAUAACCGUGGUAAUUCUAGAGCUAAUACAUGCUGAAAACCCCAACUUCGGGAGGGGUGUAUUUAUUAGAUAAAAAACCAACGCCCUUUGGGGCUUCUUGGUGAUUCAUGAUAACUUUACGGAUCGCAUGGCCUUGCGCCGGCGACGGUUCAUUCAAAUUUCUGCCCUAUCAACUUUCGAUGGUAAGGUAUUGGCUUACCAUGGUUUCAACGGGUAACGGGGAAUUAGGGUUCGAUUCCGGAGAGGGAGCCUGAGAAACGGCUACCACAUCCAAGGAAGGCAGCAGGCGCGCAAAUUACCCAAUCCCGACACGGGGAGGUAGUGACAAUAAAUACUGAUACAGGGCUCUUUUGGGUCUUGUAAUUGGAAUGAGUACAAUUUAAACCCCUUAACGAGGAACAAUUGGAGGGCAAGUCUGGUGCCAGCAGCCGCGGUAAUUCCAGCUCCAAUAGCGUAUAUUAAAGUUGUUGCAGUUAAAAAGCUCGUAGUUGAACCUUGGGUCUGGCUGGCAGGUCCGCCUCACCGCGUGUACUUGUCCGGCCGGGCCUUCCUUCUGGAGAACCUCAUGCCCUUCACUGGGCGUGUUGGGGACCAGGACUUUUACUUUGAAAAAAUUAGAGUGUUCAAAGCAGGCCUUUGCUCGAAUACGUUAGCAUGGAAUAAUAGAAUAGGACGUGCGGUCCUAUUUUGUUGGUUUCUAGGACCGCCGUAAUGAUUAAUAGGGACAGUCGGGGGCAUCAGUAUUCAAUUGUCAGAGGUGAAAUUCUUGGAUUUAUUGAAGACUAACUACUGCGAAAGCAUUUGCCAAGGAUGUUUUCAUUAAUCAGUGAACGAAAGUUAGGGGAUCCAAGACGAUCAGAUACCGUCGUAGUCUUAACCGUAAACUAUGCCGACUAGGGAUCGGGCGAUGUUCUUUUUCUGACUCGCUCGGCACCUUACGAGAAAUCAAAGUUUUUGGGUUCUGGGGGGAG
rnacentral:rRNA from 1 species